UGAGGAAUAUUGGUCAAUGGGCGCAAGCCUGAACCAGCCAUGCCGCGUGCAGGAUGACGGCUCUAUGAGUUGUAAACUGCUUUUGUACGAGGGUAAAAGUAGGUACGUGUACCUACCUGAAAGUAUCGUACGAAUAAGGAUCGGCUAACUCCGUGCCAGCAGCCGCGGUAAUACGGAGGAUUCAAGCGUUAUCCGGAUUUAUUGGGUUUAAAGGGUGCGUAGGCGGUUCGGUAAGUUAGUCGUUAAAUCGCGGGGCUCAACCCCGCAAUGGCGAUUGAUACUGUCGGACUAGAGAUAGGUUGCUGUGGGCGGAAUGUGUAGUGUAGCGGUGAAAUGCUUAGAUAUUACACAGAACACCGAUUGCGAAGGCAGCUCACAAAGCCUUAUCUGACGCUCAGGCACGAAAGCGUGGGGAUCAAACAGG
rnacentral:rRNA from 1 species